GAUGAACGCUGGCGGCGUGCCUAAUACAUGCAAGUCGAGCGAACGGACGAGAAGCUUGCUUUUCUGAUGUUAGCGGCGGACGGGUGAGUAACACGUGGAUAACCUACCUAUAAGACUGGGAUAACUUCGGGAAACCGGAGCUAAUACCGGAUAAUAUUUUGAACCGCAUGGUUCAAAAGUGAAAGACGGUCUUGCUGUCACUUAUAGAUGGAUCCGCGCUGCAUUAGCUAGUUGGUAAGGUAACGGCUUACCAAGGCAACGAUGCAUAGCCGACCUGAGAGGGUGAUCGGCCACACUGGAACUGAGACACGGUCCAGACUCCUACGGGAGGCAGCAGUAGGGAAUCUUCCGCAAUGGGCGAAAGCCCGACGGAGCAACGCCGCGUGAGUGAUGAAGGUCUUCGGAUCGUAAAACUCUGUUAUUAGGGAAGAACAUAUGUGUAAGUAACUGUGCACAUCUUGACGGUACCUAAUCAGAAAGCCACGGCUAACUACGUGCCAGCAGCCGCGGUAAUACGUAGGUGGCAAGCGUUAUCCGGAAUUAUUGGGCGUAAAGCGCGCGUAGGCGGUUUUUUAAGUCUGAUGUGAAAGCCCACGGCUCAACCGUGGAGGGUCAUUGGAAACUGGAAAACUUGAGUGCAGAAGAGGAAAGUGGAAUUCCAUGUGUAGCGGUGAAAUGCGCAGAGAUGUGGAGGAACACCAGUGGCGAAGGCGACUUUCUGGUCUGUAACUGACGCUGAUGUGCGAAAGCGUGGGGAUCAAACAGGAUUAGAUACCCUGGUAGUCCACGCCGUAAACGAUGAGUGCUAAGUGUUAGGGGGUUUCCGCCCCUUAGUGCUGCAGCUAACGCAUUAAGCACUCCGCCUGGGGAGUACGACCGCAAGGUUGAAACUCAAAGGAAUUGACGGGGGCCCGCACAAGCGGUGGAGCAUGUGGUUUAAUUCGAAGCAACGCGAAGAACCUUACCAAAUCUUGACAUCCUUUGACAACUCUAGAGAUAGAGCCUUCCCCUUCGGGGGACAAAGUGACAGGUGGUGCAUGGUUGUCGUCAGCUCGUGUCGUGAGAUGUUGGGUUAAGUCCCGCAACGAGCGCAACCCUUAAGCUUAGUUGCCAUCAUUAAGUUGGGCACUCUAAGUUGACUGCCGGUGACAAACCGGAGGAAGGUGGGGAUGACGUCAAAUCAUCAUGCCCCUUAUGAUUUGGGCUACACACGUGCUACAAUGGACAAUACAAAGGGCAGCGAAACCGCGAGGUCAAGCAAAUCCCAUAAAGUUGUUCUCAGUUCGGAUUGUAGUCUGCAACUCGACUACAUGAAGCUGGAAUCGCUAGUAAUCGUAGAUCAGCAUGCUACGGUGAAUACGUUCCCGGGUCU
rnacentral:rRNA from 1 species